CAGCAGCCACGGGAAUACGAAGGGGGGCUAGCGUUGUUCGGAAUUACUGGGCGUAAAGCGCACGUAGGCGGAUAUUUAAGUCGGGGGUGAAAUCCCAGAGCUCAACUCUGGAACUGCCUUUGAUACUGGGUAUCUUGAGUAUGGAAGAGGUGAGUGGAAUUCCGAGUGUAGAGGUGAAAUUCGUAGAUAUUCGGAGGAACACCAGUGGCGAAGGCGGCUCACUGGUCCAUUACUGACACGGAGGUGCGAAAGCGUGGGGAGCAAACAGGAUUAGAUACCCCCGUAGUCCCUGUCUCUUAUA
rnacentral:rRNA from 1 species